UGGUAUAUCUGAGGGGCCAGG
rnacentral:piRNA from 1 species